GGCCCUGAGACCAACUGGGAUUGGUACCUGUCUGUCGAACAGGACGCUGCGAGAUCGAAACUCGUCUGGGCCGCCA
rnacentral:tRNA from 1 species